AGCAGCCGCGGUAAUUCCAGCUCCAAUAGCGUAUAUUAAAGUUGUUGCAGUUAAAAAGCUCGUAGUUGAAUUUCGGGAUUGGCGCAUCGGUCGUGCCUCACGGGGUAUGAACUGGUGCAGUCAAUUUCUCACCUUCUGGAGAACCGCGAUGUCCUUAAUUGGGUGCCGCGGGGAACCAGGACCUUUACUUUGAAAAAAAUUAGAGUGUUUAAAGCAGGCAUUUUUGCUUGAAUACAUUAGCAUGGAAUAAUAAAAUAGGACGGCAUGGUUCUAUUUUGUUGGUUUCUAGGACCACCGUAAUGAUUAAUAGGGAUAGUUGGGGGCAUUAGUAUUCAAUUGUCAGAGGUGAAAUUCUUGGAUUUAUUGAAGACUAACUACUGCGGAAGCAUUUGCCAAGGAUGUUUUCAUUAAUCAAGAACGAAAGUUAGGGGAAUCGAAGACGAAUCAGAUACCGUCGUAGUCUUAACCAUAAACUAUAGCCGACUAGGAAUCAGACGAUGUUAAUUUUUAAUGACUCGUU
rnacentral:rRNA from 1 species